GCUGGGCAUGGUGGUGCACUCAUGUAAUCCCAGCUACUAGAGAGGCAGAGGAGGGAGGAUUGUUUGAGCUCAGGAGUUUGAAGCCAGCCUGAGAACACAAUGAUAACCCAUCUAAA
rnacentral:sRNA from 1 species